UGGGGAAUCUUGCGCAAUGGACGAAAGUCUGACGCAGCGACGCCGCGUGGGGGAUGAAGGCUUUCGGGUUGUAAACCCCUGUUGCCCGGGACGAACUUCCUGUUUCGACAGGAUUGACGGUACCGGGUGAGGAAGCACCGGCUAACUCUGUGCCAGCAGCCGCGGUAAUACAGAGGGUGCGAGCGUUGUCCGGAAUCACUGGGCGUAAAGGGCGCGUAGGUGGCGCGACAAGUCGGUGGUGAAAGUUCGACGCUCAACGUCGAAUCGGCCACCGAUACUGUUGGGCUCGAGCACUGUAGAGGCUAAUGGAAUUCCGGGUGUAGCGGUGGAAUGCGUAGAGAUCCGGAAGAACACCGGUGGCGAAGGCGGUUAGCUGGGCAGUUGCUGACACUGAGGCGCGACAGCGUGGGGAGCAAACA
rnacentral:rRNA from 1 species